UCUUUGGUGGUUCAGUGGUAGAAUUUUCACCUUCCAUUUGGAAACCUGGGUUUGAUUCCUGGUCAAUGAA
rnacentral:tRNA from 1 species